GGCAGCAAGUAACUAUUGUCUUGACCUUUCCAGUCCUGCAGAGCAGCCUCAACACAGAAAAGAAUACCACAAACUCUUGUUGGAAAUCAUAGUUCUAAGGAGAAAGAGAAAAAGGGAGAUAACUCUGCAAAAAAUCAAGGAAAUUCAGAGAAAAUCAUGAGAAAAUACAAGAAAUUCAAAGGAAAGCUUAAACUAAAUUGAAGAAGCUAAAAAUCAAGGUGAAAUGGGGACCCCAUUGAACAAAUUGCAAGCAAGGUUGAGCUCGCGGAGAUGGCGAAGUGAGAAGAGGGAGGUAUUGGGGAAAAUGUUAGGUUUAAGGAGCUGGCUAGAGCUGAGGUCAAGGCUGAUGACGUCACCUGUGAUAGGCCUGUGAUCCCGUCACAAGUGACACCAUCCCAGCUGCAACAAUCAUUCCGCUCCUUCCAAGACCCUUCUCUGGUAUCUCACCAAGAGCAAAUGCAUCAAUGGAAAACAAUUGGCUGAACUGGAGCAGAGCAGCACUCUGUUAAUGAGGAUACAAUAGGCACCCCCACCACCACCACAGCUACGCCACUGGAAGAGUGAUCAAGUGAAGAGUAGGAGGAGAAGGAUGAGCAAAUGGGAAGUACUCCAAAUUGCAAUGUCAGGAAGUAUAAGUGCAUAUGUGGGCCACAAGUACUGAGCUAUCCAACCAUACCUCUCCAUGAUACUAGUUAAUCAAUCUUAAUUAUGUUCUUAUGUGUAUAUAUGUGUGCACAUGUAUAUAUAUUGUUGGCUUGUUGCUAGCUAGUAGAAAAUAGAAAAUAGGAUAAAAUGUGUAACACAAGUUGUAAGUCCAACCCAAAGCGUGGAACCAAGUACUUUGAAUGGCAUUCACGCAAACAAUGUAAUACUCCAAAAGAAAAUUGCAAAACAUUGGACAUGGAGAUUGAAAUUA